UAUGGAUGUGACAUUUUUUACCAAUGGCUAACACUGAAGGUAUACCCACCUUUCUGUUGGAAUGACUUAUAUAGAUAGCUUUUGGGGGCCGAGCUCCAUGGAGACCUCCGUCUGCAAAAUUCAUAAUCCAUAGAGGUCGAUGCUGCCGCUCCUCGGCGCGCUCGCCGCCGACUCGUGGAUCGGCCGGUACCGGGCCAUCGUGGCCGCCGGCGUCCUCUACCUCGUGAGGGAGUACCUACCAGCAGCUCAAAACAGUAAAAAUUACGUACGUUAUGGACAGAGCUUUGGGAUGCUGACGGUGUCAUCCAUGGUGCCACCACGUCAACCUCAACCUGGGGGAUCCCCUUCCCGCGCGGCGUUCUUCUACGCCACGAUCUACAUGGUGGCGCUGGCGCAGGGCUUCCACAAGCCCAAUGCGCAGGCCCUCGGCGCGGACCAGUUCCCCCGGAGCUCCCCGGACAGCAUCGCGUCCCGCAGCUCUUUCUUCAACUGGCUCCACUUCGCCAUGUGGUGGGGGUUCAUUGUCGCCGUCGUCGGGCUGAGCUACGUGCAGGACAACGUCGGCUGGGAUGCCGUGUUCGGGGCAUCCUGGGCCAUGAUGCUCGCGUCCAUGUCCUUGUUCUUGCUCGGCACGGGCAUGUAUCGUGUCGCCGAGCAGCCACGCGACCGGCGUGCUCUCGCGAGGCUCACGAGAACGUUUGCAGCUACGGCGCGUACAUGGACAGACAUGGUCUUUCGUCGCAGCGCCGCCAUGGACGAUGAAUGUUUGCUGAGGCCAAAAGAGCAGGAAGGCAAGGGGGUCAUGGUGAAGCUGCUUCCGAUAUGGAUGACCAGCGUCGUGUACGCAAUGGUGAUCGUGCAGGUGUCCACUCUGUUCACCAAGCAGGGCAGCACCAUGGACCGGCGCAUCGGCGCGACCACAGGCCUAGUCGUGCCCCCGACGGCGCUGCAGAGCUUCGUGGGCCUGGCCAUCAUCGCGUCCGUCCCGGUCUACGACCGCGCGUUCGUGCCCCUCGCGAGGCGCGUGACCAAGCACCCCUCCGGGAUCACCAUGCUCCAGCGCAUCGGCGCCGGCAUGGCCAUCGCGACCGUCGCCAUGGCCGUCGCGGGGCUCGUGGAGGCCGCGCGCCUCCGCGAGGCCAGGGACGCCAGCCUGGUGGACCGUCCGGGGGUGGCGGUGCCGAUGAGCCUGUGGUGGAUGGUGCCGCAGUACGUGCUGCUGGGCCUCGCCAACGUGUUCACCAUCGUGGGGCUGGAGGAGUUCUUCUACGACCAGGUGCCCGACGCGCUCCGGAGCGUCGGGCUCGCGCUCUGCAUGAGCAUCAUGGGCGUGGGGAGCUAUGCCAGCGGCGUGCUCGUGUCGGCGAUCGACUGGGCGACGAGGCGCACGGGGGAGAGCUGGUUCUCGGACAACCUCAACCGCGCCCACCUCGACUACUUCUACUGGGCUCUGGCCGGGGUCGCUGCUCUGGAGGUGCUCGUUUUCUUCUAUUUUUCCAGGAGAUACGUCUACACUAACAAACGCGACCUUGUAACGUAGAAAUGCAUCUCAUGCUUCACUUCGCGGAACAUUUCUUGAUCU
rnacentral:rRNA from 1 species